AAUUCUCAACCUUACCAGUUUUGUUUCAAGACUGUGUAGGGCUUGGAUUAUGGGGGUUUAUGCUGGCUCAUCUUUUGUAGUCAGCUCCCCUGAAACACAUUAGCGAGUUGUAACUAAGACUCAUUUCUAUUGGUGUGAUAAUUAUCUACGCCGUGGAUUGAUCUUAGACUUGCUUCUAAUCGUCCGUAAGGACAACAUAUGACA
rnacentral:misc_RNA from 1 species